rnacentral:rRNA from 1 species
AGAGUUUGAUCAUGGCUCAAAUUGAACGCUGGCGGAAUGCUUUACACAUGCAAGUCGAACGGCAGCACGGAGAGCUUGCUCUCUGGUGGCGAGUGGCGAACGGGUGAGUAAUAUAUCGGAACGUGUCCAAUAAUGGGGGAUAACGAGUCGAAAGAUUCGCUAAUACCGCAUACGCCCUACGGGGGAAAGCAGGGGAUCGUAAGACCUUGCGUUAAUGGAGCGGCCGAUAUCUGAUUAGCUUGUUGGUGAGGUAAAGGCUCACCAAGGCGACGAUCAGUAGCUGGUUUGAGAGAACGACCAGCCACACUGGAACUGAGACACGGUCCAGACUCCUACGGGAGGCAGCAGUGGGGAAUUUUGGACAAUGGGGGCAACCCUGAUCCAGCCAUUCCGCGUGAGUGAAGAAGGCCUUCGGGUUGUAAAGCUCUUUCGCAAANGAAGAAAACUUAUGAUCGAAUAAAUCAUGAGGUUGACGGUACCUUGAUAAGAAGCACCGGCUAACUACGUGCCAGCAGCCGCGGUAAUACGUAGGGUGCGAGCGUUANUCNGAAUUACUGGGCGUAAAGCGUGCGCANGCGGUUUUGUAAGUC